rnacentral:rRNA from 1 species
UACGUAGGGUGCAAGCGUUGUCCGGAAUUAUUUGGGCGUAAAGAGCUCGUAGGCGGUUUGUCGCGUCUGCUGUGAAAACUCGGGGCUUAACUCCGGGCCUGCAGUGGGUACGGGCAGACUAGAGUGCGGUAGGGGAGACUGGAAUUCCUGGUGUAGCGGUGAAAAUGCGCAGAUAUCAGGAGGAACACCGGUGGCGAAGGCGGGUCUCUGGGCCGUAACUGACGCUGAGGAGCGAAAGCGUGGGGAGCGAACAGG